GCUAGGGUUCAAAUCCCAGGUCUUUCAACAUCAACUGGCUGUGAAACAUGGGCAAGUUCCAACUAUGGGAGCCCACGCCCCGCCCAUGCCAACAUGAAUGCCAAUGCGGCAGCGGGGCUGGCCCCUGAGCACAUCCCCACCCCGGGGGCUGCCCUGUCGUGGCAGGCGGCCAUCGACGCAGCCCGGCAGGCUAAGCUGAUGGGCAGCGCUGGCAAUGCGACCAUCUCCACAGUCAGCUCCACGCAGCGGAAGCGGCAGCAAUAUGGGAAACCCAAGAAGCAGGGCAGCACCACGGCCACACGCCCGCCCCGAGCCCUGCUCUGCCUGACCCUGAAGAACCCCAUCCGGAGGGCCUGCAUCAGCAUUGUCGAAUGGAAACCAUUUGAAAUAAUUAUUUUACUGACUAUUUUUGCCAAUUGUGUGGCCUUAGCGAUCUAUAUUCCCUUUCCAGAAGAUGAUUCCAACGCCACCAAUUCCAACCUGCUCCAGUUCUGCCCUGAAGGCUUGUCCAUGCCUGUGGAUCACCAUCCUCUGCCUCCUGCCUCCUCCUGCUUCCCCGGCUGGUGUCUGCCUCGUAUCAUCAGUCACCUCCUCCCAAGCAGCCUAUUGCUUUCUCUACUGAUGCCUUGAGCCGGAAGCCAGACAGCAGAUAUUCCAAAACUGAAAACCUGUGGAUUUGCCUGUAAAUUUGCUAUAAUUUCUUAAGAACACAAGAAAGGCUGAACUUCCUGGAAGUUAUUCCUAGGGCCAGCAUCAUGGGAGUUUGACGGUUGGCUGUGUAGAGCAGUCACUCCAAGGCAGUUGAUUUGCUUUGUUGUUCUUCUCACCCCAUCAGUAUUAUAAUGUGGAGCUUCCUCUGCAUUGUGCCGUGAGAUGACAGCAAAAGGGCUGUGGCCACUGCCUGGGACUUGAUCCUUCGCUGAAACAGGGACACUUUCUAUGACUAGUGCUACGUUACAUUUAUCCGUUCUAUUGGACACAUGUUCGUAGGCCCAGGAUCAGAAUAAAAUAGCUCCACAGCUAGAAGAAAUCAGUUUAUAGGCAAACAAGACUCUGAUGUUGGCCCUUAAAAAGAAACUGCUCAUAUUACAUAUUACAGUUUAAUUUUGUCCGCGUUAGAAGGUCCCAGUGAUAUCUUUGCUUCUUGACUGUAGUCUAGUGUUUAAAGGUUAUUUGCCCAGGUGACUUUUUUAUCUUUUCCAAUCUAAAUACAGUUGUCCCUUGGUAUCCACAGGUGAUUGGUUCCAGGACUCCCCAACCCCUUGGAUACCAAAAUCCUUAGGUACUCAAGUCCCUUGCAUAAAAUGCAUAGUGUUUUCAUAUAACCUAUGCACAUCCUCUUGUGUACCUUAAAUCAUCUCCAGGUUACUUAUACUACCUAAUACGGUGUAAGUGCUAUAUAAAUAGUUCUUAUGAUGUACUGUUUUCAUUUACUGGUAUGAUUUUUAUUGUCAUAUUAUUUUUAUUAAAAAUUUUCUUUUCAAA
rnacentral:misc_RNA from 1 species